ACAUAUCUUCGGGCUUAUUUCUCACUGCUGCAAGUGAUAACCUUCCUUGGACUUCACCAUCUGGGGAAUUUGCUUUUGGAUUCCAACAAGUUGGUGAUGCUGGCUACCUACUUGCCAUAUGGUUCAACAAAAUACCCGAAAGAACCAUAGUCUGGUCAGCUAAUAGAAAUGAUCCAGUUCAGGGGGGAUCAAGAGUACAACUUACCAGAGAUGGAGAGUUGGUUCUAAAUGAUCAAUCAGGCAGAACAAUAUGGAGUCCAGUUUUUGGUGGAAGUGGAGCCGCCUAUGCAGCCAUGCUUGACACAGGAAACUUCGUGCUAGCAAGCCAAGCUGGUGCCAAUUUGUGGCAGAGUUUUGAUGAACCAACAGACACACUGUUGCCCACACAAAAUCUGAAUUUAGGUGCUCAACUAAUUGCUCCCUACCUGGAAAAGAAUUAUUCAGAUGGAAGAUUCAAGUUCAUUCUACAAGCUGACAGCAAUCUCGGACUGUACACAACACGUUAUCCAACAACUACCUCAAAUGUUGCUUAUUGGUCUCCCCAAAGUUCUACUGGAAGCGGUUAUAGGGUGAUCUUUAACCAGUCUGGCUAUAUGUACCUCGCAGACCAAAAUGGCAAUACGCUUAAUUCGGUAUUCUCUAAUUCAGUAUCAAUGCAAGAUUUCUACUUGAGGGCAACCCUGGACUAUGAUGGAGUUUUUAGGCAAUAUGCUUAUCCAAAGACUGCUUCCAGUAGCACAAGGUGGGCUAUGGCCUGGACGACUUUGCCAAACUUCAUACCCUCAAAUAUCUGCGUGGUAAUUAGGGGACCAGUAGGCAGUGGAGCUUGCGGUUUCAACAGCUAUUGCAUAUUAGGAGAUGACCAAAGACCAAGAUGCAAGUGUCCUCCUGGUUACACUUUCUUUGAUCCAAAUGAUGAGAGGAAGGGAUGCAAGAAAAACUUUAUUUCACAGGAUUGUGACCAUCCAUCGCAAGAAAUAGAUAACUUUAUGAUCUGGGAUAUGCUUAACACAAACUUUCCAUUUACUGAUUAUGAAGAUUUUUUUUCAGUGGACGAGGAUUGGUGCAGACAAGCUUGCUUGAGUGACUGCUAUUGUGCUGUUGCCACUUAUAACAGUGGACACUGUUGGAAGAAGAGAGGCCCUCUCUCGAAUGGGGUAACAGAUCCAAGUAUUGGUGAUAAAGCCCUGAUGAAAGUAAGGAAAGGCAACCGGACUGCAGGUUCAAGUGCAAAGAAGAGUGAUCGAUCAAUUUUGAUCACAACAGGAUCGGUGCUUUUAGGUAGCUCCAUCUUUCUAAUUGUUCUUUCUCUGCUAGGAAUCUACGUGUUCUUUACUCGAUGGAACCAACAAAAACAAAAGAUGGUACCGCAACUCCAUGUCAUGCCAGAAAUGAAUCUGCAGAAUUUUACUUACAAUGAGCUGGAAACAGCUACAGGAGGAUUCAAGGAAGAACUCGGUAGGGGUGCUUUUGGAAUUGUUUACAGAGGGGCACUAGCCAACGAAGACAAACCGCUCAUCGCAGUAAAGAAAUUAGAAAAGAUGGCCGGGGAGGGCGACACAGAAUUCAAUACAGAAGUGAAAGUUAUUGGCAGAACAAAUCACAAGAAUCUGGUUCAACUUGUUGGAUUCUGUAACGAAGGGGAAAAUCGCCUUCUGGUCUACGAGUACAUGAGCAGUGGCUCCUUGUCAAACUACAUAUUUGGAUAUACAAGGCCUAGUUGGCACCGAAGAAUGCAAAUUGCUUUCGGUGUAGCCAGAGGGCUACUUUACCUCCAUGAAGAAUGCAGCUCCCAGAUAAUCCAUUGUGAUAUCAAGCCUCAAAAUAUCCUCCUCGACGAAUCUCUUAACGCCAGGAUUUCAGAUUUCGGACUAGCCAAGCUGUUGAAGACGGACCAAACCAAAACAACGACAGGAAUCAGGGGGACGAAAGGGUAUGUUGUUGGGGAAUCCGACCGGUGAUGUUCUGAUAUUUGCUCAAUGGAGGCUAAAGGACACUGACACAAUAUUUAACGUGGUUCGGCAAAUCCGCCUACAUCCACGGGAGAGGUCCAUUUUAUUAGAUAUAGAGAUACAUGGAAGAAGAUUACAUCUGCUGCAAUGGCAGCAAGGCUGCUGCCAUUGCAGCUCUCUCUUUUCUCUCUAUUCUCACGUUCUCUCUCUCAGCCUUCUCUUCACUCUCACUUUGCUCUCAAAUAAUUGCCUCUUUUAUAGGCAUUUUAUGGUGAGACAAGAUCCACAAAAUGAGGCACUAAUUAUGCUCCACUAUCUACCAAGUGGGAGUGGGGUAUUUGCCACAAUAAUGGCAAUUUCCUAACAAUCACCCCCUUUGCCAUUUGUGGCAAUUGUCCUCUUACUUCUUCAGCACAAGCUUGCAUUCUGCAGCUCUUCCAAGCUUACCAUUCUGAGAGCGUCUUCAACACAACAUUCCCCUUCGAGCGUAUCAACCAUGCUCGGUCCGGAAUGAUUUUUUCAAGCCUUACACCAAGGCUUACAACACCCCCUCAAACGAAUAUUUCCAAGUGUGACAGUCAUUGAGUAUUUCAAUGUGAUCACAAGCUCACCACUCUUCCAAGAGUCUACUCAUCCAGGAGUUGCGCCUGCCCUCUGUUCCACCCUAGGAACCACGCCUUACUUCUCCGUGAGUCUCUCGCUCUUAGUCGUAAGAGUCCAGGUAGCUCUCCACCUUUAACCAUGGGGGCAGCCCAUUAAAGGUUGAUCCAUAUCUGUCUUCAUACUCUGAGUAUUACAAUGCCAUUACCGAGCUCACCACCUUGACAAGAGUUAACUCGUUCUCGGAACCUGCGCAUGCCCUUCUGCUUCUUCAUAGCAGCCGCGUCUUAAUGCUCCACAAGUCACACACUUAUUGUCCAAGGCAAAUGUCUUCUAGCUCAUUGAUCUUUAGCAUGGGGGCAAUAUCUAUGAAAGUCAAUCAUGCAUUUGUCUUCAUACUCAUCAUAGCCAUUUCAUUGGCUAUACACCUGUCCACUCAUAUCUAGCCAUUACAUUGGCUCUGGGGCGUUCUGAACUGGGCUCAAAUCGUGGCCCACACACCUUCUCCUUAGGUGUCUCCGCUCGUCACCAUACGGCGGUCUGAACUGGGGCUUCUAUCACGACCCUCACACCUUCUCUAAGGUGUCUUCGCCCGUUGUCAUGGGGCGGUCUGAUCCGGGCUCCUAUCAUGGCCCUCACACACCUUCUAUCUAAGGUGUCUUCGCCCGUUGUCAUGGGGCGGUCGCAUCCUCUUUCAGCUGAGAUGCUUCAAAGUGGCUCCAAAAUUUUCUACCACCAUGUGCACUAUGGGAGAUCACUGCCACUGAUUACAUAGAAAGAUAAACUUGCGGUAUACUCCUCGCAAUCCUCCACCUCGAUUUCUAUGUUUGGAGCUUCUACGCCUUUCUGCUUGACAGCUCCACCUACACCAACUCUCUUUGGUGUCAUCGCCUUUCAUCAUAGGCGGUCGCCUUUUAUCACAGGCGUUUGCACCCCCUCAAUUAGGUGCUUCUACAACAGCUCUCUUUCCAUCCUUGCAUGCAUUGGAAAGGUCUUCGCCUGUUGUCUUCAUUAAGAGCAUAAGAGACUUCCUGUUGUACAAACUUUAACAGUCUCUGCUCUGAGCUUCAUCUGGGAACACUUCUUCUCCUUGCACCUGUUGUCUCAUUACAGCACCUCGUUGGAUCCUACGGGUACUCAUGCACAAUCUCCUUGUGCCCUCGUGCAAUUUCUGUUCUCCAGAUUUUUCCCCUAUUCCUUGCUUAUGUUUGACAGCAGCUCAUCCUGUCACCACAUCUAUCCAAGUCAAAAUAGGGUGCCAAUCUUUAUCCCUUGCCGUAUUUCUCUACCAUUAUCAGGGUCUUCAUCAAUUCUCCCCUCGAGAAAUCACAGUCACCGAAUCUAACUUCUUUGGAGAAAUCACCAUUUCAUCAGAUCCUUGAUCAUACGGAACCCAACUGUUCCCUUGUGCCGUCGUCUUGCUAGUCUUCCACCGUUUCAUUACAAACUGCUAUAUAUACGAAAAUAGUACCGUAUGGAUAAUCCUUCCACUAAGCAAGUUCCUAGGAAAGAUUGGAGGGGUCACACUGGUCCCGCUUAAAACCCAAUCUCCUAGCCAGAACUUCUUAGGCCAUAUCUAUCCAUCGUACUGUCUUUCCGUAUAUACAACCAUUUGCUAGCUUUGUUGCGGCUUUCCUUUACAAGUGAUCUGGAAUAUACUAGUUUAAUACAUGAUUUCUCAACAUCUGGCGAGACUACCAGUUCUUAGAUUCGUUAAGAUUGGUCUUCAUCAAUUUCCACUCUUCACCUCAAAUUGUCCACUUGAUCGGGUGUCCAGAGUGUCCCAAUUUUGCCUUCCCUCAAGGCAGUUAAAUUUCUCCCCACUUAGCAGUUCAGCACAUGUAAUUGGGUAAACAUGUGCACCUUCUUCUUCUUCUCUUCAACGACCACCAUAAUGACCUUCAGAUGCCUCCUGAUCGGGCAAUCUCUUUUGUUAAUUAACCACCGCCAUUUUUGGUCUCAAAUCUCAACGAUCGGACCGUACCAUUGCAUCCGGAACGAUCAAAUUAGCUGGAAACAAGUCUGAAAUCGUCCAAAUCGCACUUCAGACGGCUACGAUUUGAUCAAAACAAUUCUGGCCUGAUGAGCGGCCCAGAUUUAAUCUCAGAUCCGGUUGUACGUAGACUCUGCUGCACAGAAUCAUUUCCCUCGGCUCGCGGCUCGGCUCCAACACGGCUCGGCUCAACUCGGCUCGAGGCUGAUGAUGUGGCAGGUGGGUCCCACUUUGCUGACGUGUCUGCUGACUGAUCGAUGACGUGUCUAAUGACCUGGCAUGCCUACUGUGUACGCUGACAUCACAAUUACAUCAUGCUGAUGUCAUCCCUGGCAUGCCUACUGUGCAUGCUGACAUCACAAUUAUGCCAUGCUGACGUCAUUCAUAUCCGGGUCAGCCAUGUGGGUCGGGUCAACUGGUAUUCGGGUCGGGUCAGCCCAUCCGGGCGAAGAAGACGCGUGUCACGCGUGGGGCGCGUGGGCAGACGCCCUGCCGGAGAGUGAUGGAGAGUGCGGCCAUGUCCGACGUCCGAUUUUGACGCCGUUUUCACCAGUGGCUUCGUCUCGGCCUCCUCUACACAGUGGUAUGGUCAAAACACCAUUUUGAGAACUUUCAUUUUUGAGCAAAAAUCAAACACCCCUUUAAACCAUGUGCUCUGAUACCAAUUGUUGGGGAAUCCGACCGGUGAUGUUCUGAUAUUUGCUCAAUGGAGGCUAAAGGACACUGACACAAUAUUUAACGUGGUUCGGCAAAUCCGCCUACAUCCACGGGAGAGGUCCAUUUUAUUAGAUAUAGAGAUACAUGGAAGAAGAUUACAUCUGCUGCAAUGGCAGCAAGGCUGCUGCCAUUGCAGCUCUCUCUUUUCUCUCUAUUCUCACGUUCUCUCUCUCAGCCUUCUCUUCACUCUCACUUUGCUCUCAAAUAAUUGCCUCUUUUAUAGGCAUUUUAUGGUGAGACAAGAUCCACAAAAUGAGGCACUAAUUAUGCUCCACUAUCUACCAAGUGGGAGUGGGGUAUUUGCCACAAUAAUGGCAAUUUCCUAACAUAUGUAGCUCCUGAAUGGUUCAAGAACCUGCCUGUCACAACCAAAGUAGAUACCUACAGCUUUGGCAUUCUCUUGCUGGAGCUAGUUUGCUGCAGAAAGAACUUUGAGAUUAAUGCAAUGCAAGAACAUCAGAUAGUUCUUGCAGACUGGGCAUGUGAUUGCCUUAAAGAAGGAAAGUUGAACCUUUUAGUAGAAGAAGAUGAAGAGGCAAUGGAAGACAUGAAAAGGGUAGAGAGGUUUGUGAUGGUUGCAAUUUGGUGCAUUCAGGAAGAUCCAUCUUUAAGACCUGGAAUGAAGAAAGUUGUGCAGAUGUUAGAAGGAGGUGUUCAAGUCUCUGUUCCUCCUGAUCCUUCAUCAUUUAUCAGCACAAUCUAAAUCUUUUUGAACACACACACAUGUGUGUGUGUGUGUGUCCAGAAACUAAGGCCAAUGAAUGUUACCUAUCUACCUUGCAUUGAAUAAUCUGUAGUUCCUAUCAUGUGUUAGAUCUUGUACAAUAAGGCUUAAAACGCAUGCUUUCAAUUAUUAUUUUUUCUUUUCAUGUUCACGAGUAAUAAGUAAAAUAAAAGAUUUAAAAUGAAUAUAAAGGCAAAUCGUAUAUAAUUAUUAGAUUUUUUUAUUAAUGUCACGGGGCUUUUUUAUUAAGUUGAUUAAAUCCGACCAAGUUAAUUUUAAUUAGUUUAUUUUAAAAACUAACCAGAGUUUAGUUUUGGGUUGGCAAAUAAAUGCAUUGACCGGAAAAAUUCGAUAUUAGUUAAAAUUUAUUUAUCAAAAAAAAAAAUCAUAAAGACAACAAGAAAGUCUUUGCCAUAGGCGGAAGGUUUUUAACAUUAGUUUAUUCUCAAUGCAUGAAAAAAAGAUUCGAAAUUAGUUGAAACCUCUUUAUCACAAGGUAAAAAUCACAAUAACAUAAAGAAAGUCUUUGUCAUGCCUGUUUGGAAAUGCAAUCCAACCUGUUUUUAUAAAAAAAUAAUUUUUUUUAAAAUAAUUUUUUUUAGUAUUUUUAAAUUACUUUAAUGCACUAAUAUUAAAAAUAAUUUAUUUUUUUAAAUAAAAAAAAUAUAAUUUUAAUAUACUUUUAAAUAAAAAAUAAUUUAUAUAAUAACAGCUACUAUAAUUUUAAAUAUAACCACGCGGAUAGUUGGAGAAUCAUAUUUUCUUCCGAAGGCAAUACCAAUAACUCGAGCAUAAAUAGAGAAGAGGACCUGUGCCCUAAAUCAUGCAAGGUCUUCAAAUACAGUAUCUUCACAUCAUGGAUUUUCAACUACCAUAUUGUUUUUUCUUCCUUGUUCUUCUGCUGCUGCCAUUUUCUGGCAAUGGUCAGGCUCACAGCAACAUAUCUUCGGGCUUAUUUCUCACUGCUGCAAGUGAUAACCUUCCUUGGACUUCACCAUCUGGGGAAUUUGCUUUUGGAUUCCAACAAGUUGGUGAUGCUGGCUACCUACUUGCCAUAUGGUUCAACAAAAUACCCGAAAGAACCAUAGUCUGGUCAGCUAACAGAAAUGAUCUAGUUCAGGGGGGAUCAAGAGUACAACUUACCAGAGAUGGAGAGUUGGUUCUAAAUGAUCAAUCAGGCAGAACAAUAUGGAGUCCAGUUUUUGGUGGAAGUGGAGCCGCCUAUGCAGCCAUGCUUGACACAGGAAACUUCGUGCUAGCAAGCCAAGCUGAUGCUAAUUUGUGGCAGAGUUUUGAUGAACCAACAGAUACCCUGUUGCCCUCACAAAAUCUGAAUUCGGGUGCUCAACUUAUUGCUCCCUACCUGGAAAAGAAUUAUUCAGAAGGAAGAUACAAGUUCAUUCUACAAGCUGAUGGGAAUCUCAUCUUGUACACCACACACUAUCCGUUAACUACCUCGAAUUUUGCUUAUUGGUCAACCCAAAGUUCUAUAGGUAGCGGUUAUCAGGUGAUCUUUAACCAGUCUGGCUUUAUGUACCUUGUAGCUAGAAAUGGUACUGUACUUAAUCCUGUAUUCUCUAAUUCAGUAUCAAUGCAAGAUCUCUACUUGAGGGCAACCCUGGACUAUGAUGGAGUUCUUAGGCAAUAUGUUUAUCCAAAGACUGCUUCCAGUAGCAGAAGCAGGGCUAUGGCCUGGACGACUUUGUCAAACUCCAUACCAUCAAAUAUCUGCUUGAGAAUUACGGGACAAGAAGGCGGUGGAGCUUGCGGUUUCAACAGCUAUUGCAGAUUAGCAGAUGACCAAAGACCAAGUUGCAAGUGUCUUCCUGGUUACACUUUCUUUGAUCCAAAUGAUGAGAGGAAGGGAUGCAAGAAAGAUUUUAUUUCACAGGAUUGUGACCAUCCAUCGCAAGAAAUAGAUAGCUUUGAGAUCAAGGAAAUGCCUAACACAAACUGGCCGUUUAAUGAUUAUGAAAUGUUUGGUUUAGUGGACGAGGAUUGGUGCAGACAGGCUUGCUUAAGUGACUGUUAUUGUGCUGUUGCCAUUUUUAACACUGCUGGACAAUGUUGGAUGAAGAGAGUCCCUCUCUCGAAUGGGGUAACAGAUCCAAGUGUUGGUGGAAAAGCCCUGAUAAAAGUAAGGAAAGGCAACUCGACUGCAGGUUCAAGUGCAAAGAAGUGUGAUAGAUCGAAUUUGAUCACAACAGGCUCGGUGCUUUUAGGUAGCUCCAUCUUUCUAAUUGUUCUCUCACUGCUAGGGAUCUAUGUGUUCUUUUCUCGAUGGAACCGACAGCAACAAAAAAUGAUACCGCAACACCGUCUCAUGCCAGACAUGAAUAUGCAGAAUUUCACUUACAAUGAGCUCGAAAGAGCUACAGGAGGAUUCACGGAAGAACUUGGUAGAGGUGCCUUUGGAACUGUUUACAAAGGGGUACUAGCGAACGAAGACAAACCACUCAUUGCAGUGAAGAAGUUAGAUCAGAUGGCCGGAGAGGGCGACAGAGAAUUCAAUACAGAAGUGAAAGUUAUUGGAAGAACAAAUCACAAGAAUUUGGUUCAACUUAUUGGAUUCUGUAACGAAGGGCAACAUCGCCUUCUGGUCUACGAAUACAUGAGCAAUGGCUCUUUGGCCAAUUUUCUCUUUGGAGAUUCAAGGCCUAACUGGUACCGAAGAAUGCAAAUUGCUUUCGAUAUAGCCAGAGGGCUCCUUUACCUCCAUGAAGAAUGCAGCUCCCAGAUAAUCCAUUGUGAUAUCAAACCUCAAAAUAUCCUCCUCGACAAAUCUUUUAAUGCAAGGAUUUCUGAUUUCGGAAUAGCCAAGCUGCUGAAGACAGACCAAACUAAAACAACUACAGCAAUCAGGGGGACCAAAGGGUAUGUAGCUCCUGAAUGGUUCAAGAACCUGCCUGUCACAACCAAAGUCGAUACCUACAGCCUUGGCAUUCUUUUGCUGGAGCUAGUUUGUUGCAGAAAGAACUUUGAUAUUGAUAAGAAAGAAGGUCAGAUAGUUCUUGCAGACUGGGCAUGGGAUUGCCUUAAAGAAGGAAAGUUAGACCUUUUAGUUGAAGAUGAUGAAGAGGCAGCAGAAGACAUGAAAACGGUAGAGAGGUUUGUGAUUGUUGCAAUUUGGUGCCUUCAAGAGGAUCCAUCUUUAAGACCUGAAAUGAAGAAAGUUGUGCUGAUGCUAGAAGGAGCUGUUCAAGUCUCUAUUCCUCCUAAUCCUUCAUCAUUUAUCAGCGCAAUCUAAAUCCUUUUUGUACACAUGUAUAUAUCCAGUUACUAAGACCAAUGAAUGUAACCUAUCUACCAUGCAUUGAAUGAUCUGUAGUUGCUGUCAUUUCAGACAUGUCUAGAUCAUCUUCUGGGUUGAUACUCUAAAUUUCAAGUCAAAUGAUGAUUUCUUCAACCUGUCCAAUUGAGUAACAGAUUGAUUGAGUCUUUAUCAGCUUGGAAAGAAAAACAUCAUGUGUUACAACAUGCACAACAAGGCUUCAAAUACUUGCAUCCAUUUUUUAUUUUCCUUUUCCAUGCUCAAGAGUAACGAGUAGAAUCAAAGAAUCAUUAUUCAAAAUAUGUGCUUAAUAAAUAAUUACUAACCAGUACUUCAAUCUUAAACGGUCUAGCUUUUAUAGACUUGGCCCGUGUAAAUAGCAUGUUUGUUUCCCAAGUUAUUUAUCAUAAUGUAGUCCUAAUUAAGAUCAUAUUAAUUGAGCUUGGCUUGAUUUUCAUAAAAAACUUUGUUUGUAGUUAUUAGAUUAACUCAGCCUGAUAAAUUCACAACUUUAAUUUUUUUCUGUUUUUAAAAUAUCGUUUUAACUUUUAUUAAAAUAAAUUAAAAUAAUAUUAUUUUAAAUUAAUUUAAAAAAUCUAAAUUAACAUAUCUAGUCUGUGGGUCAUGUGCGAGUUCGGGCUUAAUAUUUUGUAUGUGAAUGGUUUGUUUAACAUCUUGAGAAAUUUAGUAAUUGCAGACAAAAGUGGACCAGUCCAUUAUAAUAAUGAUAGGAAGAAAAGGUUCAUUUUGGCGUAAAAGACAAUUUUAGACCAAUAUAAAAGACUAGUCGUGCAUUUGUUGUCUUGUUUAUGUAUGACACGUAGUCGAUGGCAAUGUGACUUUCAAAUUGGAUUGAUUCGUGUGUUAAUUGUACCGUGCACGUUAAAGUUUCAUGCGCUUAUUUAUUUUCUUUUCUUUUUUUCCAUAUUAAAGAGUAACGAGUAAAAUCUUAUAUUUAUAUAUUAGCAUUAAGCAAAAGGGUUUUAUAAUUUAUUAUUCCACUUAAUUUAAUUUUAAAUAAAUUUUUUUUUGAAAGGUUUAGUUUGAAUGAUAAAUGAGUUUGUUCUUAAGCUACUAUUUAGAAUUGAAUCCUUAAAAAAACGAUUCCUUUUUCUGACUUUACAAAUUCAGAUAUAAAUGCUCUAAUUCAAACUCAAUACAUAGGAGGAAUUCAUUCCAAGAAUGAUCACUUUUAAUUCACUUUACAUAUUACUCAACAACAAAUUGAUGUUAAUAGCUCACACUACGCUACAUACUAGAUUUUUUAUAUAUAUAAAGGAAAAUAUGCAGAUGUUUCUAACAUAUUUUCUAGUAAAAAUAAUUUAAAUUAUAUGUGGGUUGACCUGAUAUAACUUGAUUAACUUGAGAUGAAUGAUCGUUAAAAAAAAUUUUGAUAAAAAAAAUCCCAAGAGGAUUUUUUAAAGAAAUAUUAAGACAAAAACAUAUCGGAUCGACUUAGGUCAACUUGGGUUAACUUGUCAAAUCAAUAUUAUUGGUACCCAUUUUGGGACCCCAUACUAAGAAAUUAAAAAACAAUAUUGGAAAAAUAAAAUAUAUAUCAGUAAGAAAAACAUGAAAAUUGUCUAGAAAAUUUCCAAAAACUAGUUGAGAAGGACCAAAAUACCCAAAUUUGAAAAAUUAACAGUUCAAUUUUGAUUGAUGAAGGUCUUAUUAACAAGAAAAAUGCAAUUUGGAAAGAAAAAUUCAAAAUUAGAUGUUUAAUAACUCAAUUGGUAUUUUUUUUAGGGUUUAAUUGAAUUUAUUAAGGGUUUAAUUGCUAGGAAUGUUGGUUUUUGAAUUCAAUUUGGGCUUUAAUUGGAAAGAAUUGAAGUCUUGGGGUUGAAUUGCAAUUUUAAAAAGAUGAUUUGAUCAAAUCAGAGGUUUAAUUGUAUAAAUAUUAAAGUUUAAUAGGCAAUUAAGGACUUGAUUGAAGAAACUUAAAAUCAAAGACCAAACCAUAAAAGACAUGAGACUUCAAGGAUUUAAAUCGAUAAAAUCAAGGGUCAAAUUAAAAACAAUUGAAGGUUUGAUAGUCAAUUGAUUGUCAAUGACCUAAUUAUCUAGCUAUUGCUCUAAGACGUACAGCUAAUAACAAGUCUUUUUUGCAUGUCUCUUUUGCAUGGGUUUAUCACACAGUCCUUUCUUCGCGUUAAUAUAUAUUGGAAGAGUCACCUAAUGUUUGAGUCAUUGCGAUAAGCAUUUUCUGAGGAAGUAAGCAGGAAGCUGCUAUGUUUUGUCCUCCAGUCAAAUAUUGAUAAUUUAUUUUAGUUUUUUUUAUAGUAUAACGACCGGGAGUUAACUCAAGUUAAUUUAUAAAAGUAUCAUUUUGUUAUUUAAAAAUAUAUAUAUAUAUAUUAUUUUUUUAUUUUUUUAAAAAAUUAAACAAGAUUUUUAUAUAAUGAAAUCGACCGGGUUUUGGUUUUGGGUUGGCAGAUAAAUACAUUGACCGUUUAAUAACCGGAAAAAUUGGAUAUUAGUUAAAAUUUAUUUACCAAAAAGAAAAAAUCAUAAAGACAGAAAGAAAGUCUUUGCCAUCUUCAUUUGAUACGCAGAAGGUUUUUAGCAUUAGUUUAUUCUCAUGCAUGAAAAAAUGAUUCGAAAUUAGUUGAAAUUUCUUUAUCACAAUUAACCACAUAAAGAAAGUCUUUGCCAUAUUCAUUUGAUAAAUGCAUUGACCGUUUAAUAACUGGAAGGUUUUUAGCAUUAGUUUAUUCUCAUGCAUGAAAAAAAGAUUCGAAUUUAUCACAAGGGAAAAAUACAAUCACAUAAAUACAAUCUCUUUAUCAAUUAGUUGGAGACCCAUAUUUUCCUCCAACGACAAUACUCAGCAUAAAUAGAGAAGAGGACCUGUGCCCUAAAUCAUGCAAUGUCUUGAUAUACAGUAUCUUCACAUCAUGGAUUUUCAACUACCAUAUUGUUUUUUCUUCCUUCUUCUUCUGCUGCUGCCAUUUUCUAGCAAUGGUCAGGCUCACAGCAACAUAUCUUCGGGCUUAUUUCUCACUGCUGCAAGUGAUAACCUUCCUUGGACUUCACCAUCUGGGGAAUUUGCUUUUGGAUUCCAACAAGUUGGUGAUGCUGGCUACCUACUUGCCAUAUGGUUCAACAAAAUACCCGAAAGAACCAUAGUCUGGUCAGCUAAUAGAAAUGAUCUAGUUCAGGGGGGAUCAAGAGUACAACUUGUUGGGGAAUUCCGGCUCCCCUUGCGCGGACCGGGGGUGUACUGAUAUUUGCUCAUAGGAGGGUAAAGCACACUGACACAAUAUUUUACGUGGUUCGGCAAAACCGCCUACAUCCACGGGAGAGAGUCCAUUUUAUUUGAGAUUAGAGAAAGGAUAUACAUGGAGGAGGAGGAUCACUUCACUCAAACUCUACUCCCAGCUCUCAUUGCUGCACUUGCAGCUGCUGCAAUGGCAACAAGGCUGCUGCCAUUGCAGCUCUCCACUUUCUCUCUAUACUCUUCACAUUCUCACACCUCUCUUACCUUUUGCUCUCUCACGUAUGCCUAUAAAUAGGCAAGUAUGGUGGCUUCUCUUCUUCAACAACAGCAGCUGCACAUGGGUUGAUACAUUUGUCAAUGGUGGGUGCAACUACCAUUGACAAAUGGUAACCCUACUCCUUAGGGUAGGUUGCCCAAUAAUGGCAAAUCCCAACACAACUUACCAGAGAUGGUGAGUUGGUUCUAAAUGAUCAAUCAGGCAGAACAAUAUGGAGUCCAGUUUUUGGUGGAAGUGGAGCCGCCUAUGCAGCCAUGCUUGACACGGGAAACUUCGUGGUAGCAAGCCAAGCUGGUGCCAAUUUGUGGCAGAGUUUUGAUGAACCAACAGACACACUGUUGCCCACACAAAAUCUGAAUUUAGGUGCUCAACUAAUUGCUCCCUACCUGGAAAAGAAUUAUUCAGAUGGAAGAUUCAAGUUCAUUCUACAAGCUGACAGCAAUCUCGUACUGUACACAACACGUUAUCCAACAACUACCUCAAAUUAUGCUUAUUGGUCUACCCAGGAUUCUAUUGGAAGCGGUUAUAGGGUGGUCUUUAACCAGUCUGGCUAUAUGUACCUCGCAGCCCAAAAUGGCGCUAUGCUUAAUUCGGUAUUCUCUAAUUCAGUAUCAAUGCAAGAUUUCUACUUGAGGGCUACCAUAGACUAUGAUGGAGUUUUUAGGCAAUAUGCUUAUCCAAAGACUGCUUCCAGUAGCACAAGGUGGGCUAUGGCCUGGACGACUUUGCCAAACUUCAUACCCUCAAAUAUCUGCGUGGUAAUUAGGGGACCAGUAGGCAGUGGAGCUUGCGGUUUCAACAGUUAUUGCAUAGUAGGAGAUGACCAAAGACCGACAUGCAAGUGUCUUCCUGGUUACACUUUCUUUGAUCCAAAUGAUGAGAGGAAGGGAUGCAAGAAAGACUUUAUUUCACAGGAUUGUGACCAUCCAUCGCAAGAAAUAGAUAACUUUAUGAUCAGGGAUAUGCUUAACACAAACUUUCCAUAUACUGAUUAUGAAGAUUUUUUUUCAGUGGACGAGGAUUGGUGCAGACAAGCUUGCUUGAGUGACUGCUAUUGUGCUGUUGCCACUUAUAACAGUGGACACUGUUGGAAGAAGAGAGGCCCUCUCUCGAAUGGGGUAACAGAUCCAAGUAUUGGUGAUGAAGCCCUGAUGAAAGUAAGGAAAGGCAACCGGACUGCAGGUUCAAGUGCAAAGAAGAGUGAUCGAUCAAUUUUGAUCACAACAGGAUCGGUGCUUUUAGGUAGCUCCAUCUUUCUAAUUGUUCUCUCUCUGCUAGGAAUCUACGUGUUCUUUACUCGAUCGAACCAACAAAAACAAAAGGUGGUACCGCAACUCCAUGUCAUGCCAGAAAUGAAUCUGCAGAAUUUUACUUUCAAUGAGCUGGAAACAGCUACAGGAGGAUUCAAGGAAGAAGUUGGUAGGGGUGCUUUUGGAAUUGUUUACAGAGGGGCACUAGCCAACGAAGACAAACCGCUCAUCGCAGUAAAGAAAUUAGAAAAGAUGGCCGGGGAGGGCGACACAGAAUUCAAUACAGAAGUGAAAGUUAUUGGCAGAACAAAUCACAAGAAUCUGGUUCAACUUAUUGGAUUCUGUAACGAAGGGGAAAAUCGCCUUCUGGUCUACGAGUACAUGAGCGGUGGCUCCUUGUCAAACUACAUAUUUGGAUAUUCAAGGCCUAGUUGGCACCGAAGAAUGCAAAUUGCUUUCGGUGUAGCCAGAGGGCUAGCUCCUUUACCUCCAUGAAGAAUGCAGCUCCCAGAUAAUCCAUUGUGAUAUCAAGCCUCAAAAUAUCCUGCUCGACGAAUCUCUUAACGCCAGGAUUUCAGAUUUCGGACUAGCCAAGCUGUUGAAGACGGACCAAACCAAAACAACGACAGGAAUCAGGGGGACGAAAGGGUAUGUAGCUCCUGAAUGGUUCAAGAACCUGCCUGUCACAACCAAAGUAGAUACCUACAGCUUUGGCAUUCUCUUGCUGGAGCUAGUUUGCUGCAGAAAGAACUUUGAGAUUAAUGCAAUGCAAGAAGAUCAGAUAGUUCUUGCAGACUGGGCAUGUGAUUGCCUUAAAGAAGGAAAGUUGAACCUUUUAGUAGAAGAAGAUGAAGAGGCAAUGGAAGACAUGAAAAGGGUAGAGAGGUUUGUGAUGGUUGCAAUUUGGUGCAUUCAUGAAGAUCCAUCUUUAAGACCUGGAAUGAAGAAAGUUGUGCAGAUGUUAGAAGGAAGUGUUCAAGUCUCUGUUCCUCCUGAUCCUUCAUCAUUUAUCAGCACAAUCUAAAUCCUUUUUGUACAUAUAUAUAUAUCCAGAAACUAAGGCCAAUGAAUGUUACCUAUCUACCUUGCAUUGAAUAAUCUGUAGUUCCUUGUAUUGAAUAAUCUGUAGUUCCAAUCAUUUCAGGCAUCAUGUGUUAGACCUUGUAAAAUAAGGCUUAAAACGCAUGCUUCCAAUUAUUAUUUUUUCUUUUCCAUGUUCACCAGUAAUAAGUAAAAUAAAAGAUUUGAAAUGAAUAUAAAGGUAAACUCGUAUAUAAUUAGAUAUUUUUUCUUUAUUUUUUUUUAGGAUUUUAAAUAUUAACGCAUAGAUAAAGUUCAGGAUAUUAAAUAUAAUUUCUAGCAAGAAAGUGAAAAUCAAUCUUAAAAGGUUUAUUUUAAUCAUCCUUUUUAGAUAUUUGCAUUAAGAAAAAACUUGGAGCAUCCAAAUCAUUCACUGUGAUAUAAAGCCGCAGAACAUUCUCAUUGAUGACGACUACAAUGCUCUAAGCUGAGGAGAAGAAACGACAGUACUGUCUUGACAAAUGUUUCCUAUGUGAAAGCGUUGUGAAACAGGGCAGGCUUCAUUCACGUGAUCUUCAAGAGAAAGUUUUGGUUGGAUAAAUAAAUAAAUAUACUAAGAAAAAAUAAAGGGAAAAAAUAGAAAUUUAUUUGUUUUUGUGUUUUGAAAAUGUUUUUAAAAAAUUUGAAUUUUUAUUUUAUUUUUUUCUUUACUUUAAAUUAAUAUUUUUUUAUGUUUUUAGAUUAUUUUGAUGCACUGAUAUUAAAAAUAAUUUUUUAAAAAUAAUAAUUACAACCUUCCAAACACGCAAGCCAUGCAGCUCACGUACCUACUAGAGACGAUUUUAACUCGCGGCCUGCACUAUUUUAGGCUGUGUUUGUUUCCUGGAAAAUGGUUUCCGGGAAACCACUUUCCAAACUUUUCUGUGUUUGUUUGUCAUCAUGAAAGUUGGUCAACGGAAAACACUUUACGGUCAACGGAAAACACUUUCCAGUCAAAGGAAAAUUUCGCUUGGUUUCCAGGAAAAUGUUUUCCUUUUAUUUUGGGCGGAAAACACUUUCCGGAAGUUGUGAAAAAUUUAGAAAUGUCAUAUUAUUUGUUAAUUAUAUCAAAUUUGGUCCUCAAACUUUUGAUUGCUAUAUAUAUUUUGUUUUGAAUAUUUGUUUUUCAAUUUCAUCCAUUAAAAUUGAAUUUUUAUAUUAAUUUAUGAAAUGUUAAUUAUUAUUAUUAUUUUAAUUUCUUCAUCUUUCAAUUUUUUUUAUUUUUUAGAUUUGAUCUCUAUUAUUUUGAUUAUUAUUUAUUUUAUUUGAGAUAAUUUAUGAAAUUAUAUUUUUUUUUUCAAUUUCAUUUUGAUUCAACUUUUUAAUUUGUAAGAUUUGUUUCUUAUUAUUUUAAUAAACUUGAAAAAAAUAAAACAUUAAUAAGUUAUUUUCCAGCUCAUUUUCCAUGACAGAACCAAACACUGAAAAGUGUUUUCCAACUUAUUUUCCAUUACACUACCAAAUAUCGGAAAAUAAUUCAUUUUCCUGAAAUUUACUUUUCAAAAGAAAACUACUUUCCAGUAAAUAAACGGGGCCUUUGUAAAUCAAAAGAAAAGCUGCCAUUACCCUUGCUUUUUGUAGCAGCACGUUAAAACAAUAAAAAACUAAAAAAAAUAUUUUUAUAAAAAAAUUAAAAAUACUUUUUAAACAUGAAUACAAACACAAUCAACGUAAAGUCGGCAGCCAAGUAAUUAGAUUUUUUCUUUCUUUCUCACUCUCUCAGCUAAAGAAAAUAAUCGGUUAAAGAAAGAAAGAGAAGAAGGGAAGUGCAUGAAUUCCUUUUUUACAAGGAUUUUUCUACUUUUUGUUUAACCUCAAUUUCAACCACAGUUUUAACCAAACACCUAUUUUUUCAAAUCAACCUCAACUAAAAGUACUUUUUAUAAAACAACUUUUUUCAAAUCACAACCACAACAGCUACCGCAAUAUCAAACACACUCAUAGUCCUUGAAUGUAAUCGAGUAAACUUGAGUUGAAGUAGCUUGAUCAUGACAUUUAACUAUCGUAAAACAUUUAUAAAUGGAAAUAUAAAUACCUUUUUAUAUACCAUGUGUUUGGUUGCUAUAUUAUGGAAGGAUAUGUGUUUAAUUAAUACAUUUGAUGGAUUACCUGCUUGUAAAGUUAAUACAUAUGUGUUAUAGAUAGAUUUUUUCUUACGUUAGUUGUCCCGACUAUAUCAAAAUUGACCAUCACCGCAUUAGUUUAAUUAACUAUUAUGAAUCGAUUGACUAGUUCAUAUUCUUGUUAAUGGUACUGAAAUUUAAUUGAUAUCGUGAUUUAGAAUCACAACAUUUAAUUAAAUAUCAUGUUUAUAAAUCACGAUAUCCAAAAGUAUGCUAUUUUGCUAAAAAAAUUUUGCUACGGUGUCAAUUUUUUUUUUUUUUUUUUGCAUUUUAUAUGCUAAUUACACAAAUUUAUCCUUGCAAUCCUUGAUGUCUCACCAUUAAAAAAAAAAAAUUGGUUAAACAUGUAUGUAUUCAUUUAUUUGAUACAUAGAAUGAACUUGGUUAGAAAAUUUCUUUGUUUCUUGAGAAAAAUAAAUUAAAACAUCUCUGUACCUCUAACCUUUGUCCAUUUCAGUGGAUGAUGUGCCUCACGAAUCCUGAAUCUGAUCCCCGCCCAAUUGAAUUUUGGAAACAUCCACUAUUUUAUGCGGCUCUUUUAAGAAAUAAAAAACACGUGGAGAUUUCGAAACAUUUCCCACGUGUAAGAUCUACCUAAAGGGAAAAUCAUCGAGUAUCAGUCACAAGAGCCUUCUGUCCAAUUUUUUUUUUCCUCUUAUCCCAUUACUAAAUGGACCGACAGAAAGGGUGCAGGUGCGCAAGAAAAAUUAAAGAAAACAGUAGGUGGACUUUUAAGAACUAUAUAUCCGUUUGGGGACGAAAACUUCGUAUAAAUUAACUUAAAUCCCAAAAAGACGUGACAGCACAUUCAAGAAUAUCUAUCUACUUUACUUUAAAAAAGAAGAAAUAACUGCAUAAAAGAGGAAAAUAAAUAAAAAAUCUAUCGAUAAUACAGCCAUGUUUGAUCUUCUAGCUACUGGAUAAAACAGGCAAAAUAACUAUCAGUAGAAGGCAAAAUCAAGCAAAGGAUUUGACAACAAAUUACAGCGAUGAAUCCAUGUAAAUAAUUGAGAUUAUGUAAGAGAGAUAGACAUAGUAAUUAGUACGUACGUGCCUUUCUAGCUCUCUGUGGUACCAAAUACAUGGUGAACGUAGGGUGGUUAUAAUUAAGAGCCCUCCAUAAUGCAGAUAAUGAAUAUUACCAGAGACUGUACGGGGAGAGACUACAGUGGCUAAGGCGCCUAAUCCAGCAUAAUUUGCACGAUUUACCUUAUCAGCAUAACAAAAACUCGAUUCAUACGUACUCGUUAUCAUCCGUAGCUAGUCCAAAGUCUCUAGACCAACAUGAAAGACAUGUCGUUGCUUUCUCCUCGUUGUUUGUGUUCAUGCACGAUUCGGUGGCAAAUUAGCAAAAGGGUAUACUUUAUCAUUUGCCCCUGUAAAUGAAACAAUUUUCUUUUUGUACCCUUAUAUUUUAAAGAUCUCGAACUUCACAAUUCUAGUUUAUAAAUGAACCAAAUUAAUGUCAUCCUUUUCAUCAAAUACCUUACCUUUUUCGAAUCUUUGAAGUGUUUUAUUUCAUGAGAGGAAAAUAUAAAUAUGAAAAAUCAAAAUCAACAUGAAUAAAUUUGAGUUUUUUUUAUAUAACUUGUUAGGAUUUUAGGGAUUUUUAAUUUAAAAAAAAUUGUAGAAGAAUCUUAAAUCAAAGCAGUUAAAACUGUGUAAUUGGAGUGGUUUAAAAAAAAAGGAAGCUUCUUAUUAAUUUCAUUACUAAUAUUUAUUAUACAAUAAUAUAAAUUAUAUCUUAAAUUAUCAUCAAUAUCUUAAAUUUUUUGGUUAAACUAGUUAUUUGAUAUGACAUUAAAAUUUUAUUAGCUAAAUUAUCAUUUUUGCGAUUCCUUUUUUUGUCCUAGAUUUAUUAGAAUUUCGUUAAAAAAAAGACCAGAAUAUAUAACUUUUCAGGAACCAGUUAUUUAACGAUUCAUUGAGUAUGAAAACAAACUUCAUUUUUGCAUUUCUUUCUCCAAGUUCUAGUUGGAUUUUCUCAGAAAGACCAGGAUUUUAGAGAUUUUCAAUGAAGAAAAUUUGUAGCACACGCAAUCCUAAAUCAAGAGAAACAGUGAAGCCUUUAUAGUUGAAGUGGUCAAAAGAAAAGGGAAACUCCCGAUUAAUUCCAUUAGUAAUGGUGACCAUUGAAACAAGCCACGCCGUUUAUUCCAAUGGCAUUAGUAAUUGCUCUAAGAUUCAUUGCUAAUAAUUUCUCUUUUUUGAACACCCCUUUCUUCACGUUAAUAUUGGAAAACUUGACCGUUGAGAUUUACAAUUUUCUAAUGCUUUACUUUUACUUCAUUAAUUUAUUCACGCUAGUUUUCAUGCUCCCCUUAAUUUAUUCAUUUGUAUCUUAUAAAAUUAGAUUCAGUGUCUUUUAAAAGUAGUGCAUAUUGCAAAGUUAUUAAAUUUGGUCCGGCUCACGGGUUAAUAUUGAGUUGAUCCAAAUCAAACCAUAAUAAUGUCAUUUUAAUUUUUUUAUAACUUCAAACGAUAUUGUUUUGGAAAAAAAAUCAAAUUAGAUUUAGAUAAGAUUUUUACUGCUUCAUAGCUUGACCUGCUAAGAUAAUCAAGUUUAACCGAGUGAACUUCUAUCCAGAUUAAUUUAAAAUUUAACUCAAUUGAGAAUAACAGAAUGACUUGGGUUGGCCUUAGCCAACCUUUCCUAUUUAUAUAUGUACGGCAUAACACGGCAGCAACCGUAGGGAUUACAACAUUGGAAUAAUCCUACAUUAAUUUUUUAUUCAGAGAUAUACAUGCUAUACAUUCUAUAAUAUGCCCCCUCAAGCUGAGGGUGGAGGAUCGACCCGAAACUUGAACCUGAAAGCAGUAAAGGACACAGCGGAAAGUGGUUUGGUGAAGACGUCAGCAAGUUGGUCCCGAGAAGGGAUAAAGCGAAUCUGAAUUUCCUUCUUCGCAACCCAGUUGCGGACAAAAUGAUAAUCUACCUCAACAUGCUUAGUACGAGCAUGAAAGAUAGGAUUCGCCGAGAGAUAGGUCGCACCAAGAUUAUCACACCAAAUGGUAGGAGUAGAGACGAUGGGAACUACAGAUCUAUUAACAAAUAUUGAAGCCAGAUGACCUCAGUAGUACCAUCUGCUAAGGCUUUAUACUCAGCCUCAGUGGAGGAACGGGCAACUGUACGUUGUUUGCUGGAUUUCCAUGAAAUCAGUGUCUGACCAAAGAAAACAAGAUAGCCACCCGUAGACUUGCGAUCAUCAAUACUACCAGCCCAAUCUGUAUCUGUAAAGCCAUGAAGAGCAAAAGAGGUGCCUCGAGUGAUAUGAAAACCAUAGGAUGCCGUUCCUUUGAGGUAGCGGAGUAUGCGUUUAACAGCAGCCCAAUGGGAAUCUGUAGGAGCAUGCAUGUACUGACAAACUCUGUUAACAGCAAAACAGAUAUCUGGAUGAGUGAAUGUAAGAUACCGAAUAGUACCCACGAUUUGACGAAAUCGUGUGGGAUUAGAGAAUGGAUGAUCCGGCUGUAUAACAAGUUUGGAAGGAGAGACUGGAGUAUCAACGGGUUUACAAGAAGUCAUACCAACCCAAGUGAGGAUGUCAAGAAUAUAUUUGUGUUGGCGCAGCAUCAGACCCAUACCUGUAGACUGAAUUUCAAUACCCAGAAAGUAGUGAACAUCACCUAAGUCACGAAGCUUGAAUUCUGAGCUUAGUAACUGGAUUAGGUGAUGAAGCAUGGCAGAGUUGUUGCCCGUAAGCAGAAUAUCAUCAACAUAGACCAAGAGAUAAAAGAUAUUAGUACCAUCAGAUAAGAUAAACAGGGAGGUGUCAACCUUGGAGGCAAGGAAACUAAUGGAGAGUAAAAAAUCACUCAGACGGGUGUACCAUGCCCUUGGUGCCUGUUUUAAACCAUAUAAUGACUUGUGCAAUCUGCACUCAUGAGAUGGAAAAGUAGGGUCAACAAAACUUGGAGGUUGUUUCAUGUAAACCUCUUCAGUAAGAACACCAUUGAGAAAGGCAUUAUGAAUAUCAAGCUGAUGAAUCUUCCAAUUACAGGAAACCGCAAUGAAAAAGACUAAUCUGACGGUGGCUUGCUUAAUAAUUAGGCUGAAAGUUUCAGAAUAAUCAAUGCUUUCCUGAUGAGUAAAGCCUCUAGCAACUAGACGGGCUUUAUAAUGUUCAAUGCUGCCAUUAACAUGAUGUUAGAUUCGAUAUACCCAUCGGCUACCCACAACAUUCAUCGAAUGAUGAAAGGGCACUAGGGACCAAGUGUGAUUGGAACGUAAAGCCUUGAUCUCAUCACACAUAGCAUCAUGCCAAGCAACAUAUUUAUCUGCAUCAGAGAAGGCAAUAGGUUCAGAAGAAUGAGAGACCAAUACCCGGGUGGCAGUUGUAUCAGCUGCAGCAGAGGCCACUAUAUUUGUGGUUUUGGGCUGCCGCGGUCUAAGGACCAUAGGGUGGCGGCUGAGCAAUGGUGGCGACGCAGAAGAGGUAGGUGUCACAGAGGUGUCCUGUUGCAGUGGAUAAGCGGAGAGAUCAACCACUAGAUUCAGACCAGGUGAAGAAGUCAGGGAAGAAGCUGCUGCAAGUAGAGGGCUGGCAGUAGAGAUAGAGUCUGCAGAAGCCGGGUGACUGGCAGAAUAAGGGGAAGCAGAGGAGGAACCAAAGGUUGUCCCAGUACUAGUAGAGACAUCGUGCUGGAGUGCAGGGAAAACUGAUCGACAACCUGUACCUACAACAGAAUGGUGAGAUAAAGAUGCAUGUGGUGAUCGGCAAGGGAAAUGUGGAGGCUGUGGUGUUUUGGUAGGAGGUGAAUGCAGGGCAGAGGCGGGAUGGGGUGUGUUAUCAUCGGUGAAUAAUAGGAAGUGGGUCAGAUUUGGGAGGAUGGUAGCAGGGAAUGAUGUGUGGUUUUGAGACGAGACCUGUGCAAUUUGUUCAGAUUUAUCAAACGAAAAAACAUGUUCAUGAAAACGGACAUGACAGGAGAUAUACAUGCAAUGAGAUUCAAUGUCAAAACAUCGAUAACUAAGGUGAGAGGAACUGUAGCAAAAAAACACACAGUGAAGAAGUUAGAUAAGAUGGCCGGAGAGGGCGACAAAGAAUUCGAUACUGAAGUGAAAGUUAUUGGUAGAACAAGUCACAAGAAUUUGGUUCAACUUGUUGGAUUCUGUAACGAAGGGCAACAUCGCCUUCUGGUCUACGAAUACAUGAGCAAUGGCUCUUUGGCCAAUUUUCUCUUUGGAGAUUCAAGGCCUAACUGGUAUCGAAGAAUGCAAAUUGCUUUCGAUAUAGCCAGAGGGCUCCUUUACCUCCAUGAAAUGAAGAAUGCAGCUCCCAGAUAAUCCAUUGUGAUAUCAAGCCUCAAAAUAUCCUCCUCGACGAAUCUCUUAACGCCAGGAUUUCUGAUUUCGGACUCGCCAAGCUGUUGAAGACGGACCAAACUAAAACAACUACAGCAAUCAGGGGGACCAAAGGGUAUGUAGCUCCUGAAUGGUUCAAGAACCUGCCAGUGACAACCAAAGUAGAUACCUACAGCUUGGGCAUUCUCUUGCUGGAGCUAGUUUGCUGCAGAAAGAACUUUGAGAUUAAUGCGAUGCAAGAACAUCAGAUAGUUCUUGCAGACUGGGCAUGUGAUUGCAUUAAAGAAGGAAAGUUAGACGUUUUAGUAGAAGAAGAUGAAGAGGCAACUGAAGACAUGAAAAGGGUAGAGAGAGGUUUGUGAUUGUUGCAAUUUGGUGCAUUCAUGAGGAUCCAUCUUUAAGACCUGGAAUGAAGAAAGUUGUGCAGAUGCUAGAAGGAGCUGUUCAAGUCUCUAUUCCUCCUCAUCCUUCAUCAUUUAUCAGCACAAUCUAAAUCCUUUUUGUACACACACACACACACACACACACAUAUAUAUAUAUAUAUAUCCAGAAACUAAGGCCAAUGAAUGUAACCUAUCUACCAUGUAUUGAAUAAUCUGUAGUUCCUAUCAUUUCAGACAUGUCUAGAUCAUCUUCUGGGUUGAUACUCUAAAUUUCGAGUCAAAUGAUGAUUUCUUCAACAACAAGGCUUCAAAUUCUUGAAUCCUUUUUUUUUUUCCCUUUUCCAUGCUCAAGAGUAACGAGUAGAAUGAAAGAAUUAUUGUUCAAAAUAUGUGCUUAAUAAAUAAUUACUAACCAGUACUUCAAUCUUAAAUGGUCUAGCUCUUAUAGACUUGGCCCGUGUAAAUGGCAUGUUCGUUUCCCAAGUUAUUUAUCAUAAUGUAGUCCUGAUUAAGAUCAUAUUAAUUGAGCUUGAUUUUCAUAAAAAACUUUGUUUGUAGUUAUUAGAUUAACUCAAUCCUGAUCAAUUCACAACCUUAAUUUUUUUUCUAUUUUUAAAAUAUCGUUUUAACUUUUAUUAAAAUAAAUUUAAAAAAUAUUAUUUUAAAUUAAUUUAAAAAAUCUAAAUUAACAUAUCUAAUCUGUGGGUCAUGAUGUGCGAGUUCGGGCUUAAUAUUUUUUAUGUGAAUGGUUUGUUUAACAUCUUGAGAAAUUUAGUAAUUGCAGACAAAAGUUGACCAGUCCAUUAUAAUAAUGAUAGGAAGAAAAGGUUCAUUUCGGCGUACAAGACAAUUUUAGACCAAUAUAAAAGACUAGUCGUUGCAUUUGUUGUCUUGUUUAUGUAUGACACGUAGUUGAUGGCAAUGUGACUUUCAAAUUGGAUUGAUUCGUGUGUUAAUUGUACCAUGCACAUUAAAGUUUCAUGCGCUUAUUUAUUUUCUUUUCUUUUUUUCCAUAUUAAAGAGUAACAAGUAAAAUCUUAUAUUUAUAUAUUAGCAUUAAGCAAAAGGGUUUUAUAAUUUAUUAUUCCACUUAAUUUAAUUUUAAAUAAUAAUAUAUUAUUUUGAAGGUUUAGUUUAAAUGAUAAAUGAGUUUGCUCCUUAAGCUACUAUUUAGAAUUCAAUCUUUAAAAAAACGAUUCCUUUUUCUGAAUUUACAAAUUUAGAUAUAAAUGCUCUAAUUCAAAAUCAAUAUAUAGGAGGCAGCAUUCCAACAAUGAUCACUUUUAAUUCACUUUACAAAUUACUCAACGAGAUGUUAACUAAAUUAUUGGCUCAAUUUUUUAUAUAUAAAGAAAAACAUGCAGAUGUAUCUAACAUGUUUUUUUGAUAAAAAUAAUUUAAAUUAUAUAUGAGUUAACCUGAUAUAACUUGGUUAACUUAAAAUUAACAAUCGUUAAAAACAUCGUUUGAUUAAAAAAUUUCCAAGAUUAUAUUUUUUAAGAAAUAUUAAGAUAAAAAUAUAUUGAAUCGACUCAGGUCAACCUAAAUUAACUUGUCAAAUCAACAUUAUUGUUAUCUAUUUUUGGGACCCCAUACUAAAAAAUUAAAAAACUUUGGAAAAAUAAAAUACAUAUCAAUAAGAAGAGCAUGAAAAAUAUCUAGAAAAUUUUCAAAGACUAGUUGAGGAAGAUCAAAAUGCCCAAAGUUGAAAAAUUAAUAGUUCAAUUUUGAUUGAUAAAUGCCUUAUUAACAAGAGAAAUUCAAUUUGAGAAGAAACAUUUAAAAUUGAAUGUUUAAUAACCCAAUUGGUAUUUUUUUAGGGUUUAAUUAAAUUUAUUGAAGGUUUAAUUAUGAGGAAUGUUGGUUUUUGAAUUCAAUUUGGGUUUUAAUUGGAAAGAAUUGAAGUCUUGGGGUUGAAUUGCAAUUUUAAAAAGAUAAUUUGGUCAAAUCAAGGGCUUAAUUGCAUAGAUAUUAAAGUUUGUUAGGCAAUUAGGGACUUGAUUAAAGAAACUCAAAACCAAAGACCAAAUCGUAAAAGGUAUGAGACUUAAAUCGACAGAAUCAAGGGUCAAAUUAAAGACAAUUGAAAGUUUAAUUGAUGGUCAAUUGAGGGUUAAUUUACAUAAAUCAACAAUCAAUAACCUAAUUAGAAAAGGUGCUAAAUUCUGGGGUUGAUUAUUGAGUUUGACAGGGAUGAAAUUGUAUGAAAUUAAAAGUUUAAAGAUAAUUAAAAGAAGUUUAAGUCAAAUAUAUCAAGAUCUAAGACCAAGUCACAAAUAUUCUGACAAAGUCACUCAAACAUGAUAUCUUUGUCAAGUUUAGAGAUAUGCUAGGAGUUAUCAAAAAUCAAGUUUAAUAGAGGAUGUUGAAAAUAAACUAAAUUUUUUGGUUUUUUUUAAAUGAAAAAACUAUUCGACUAGUUGAAACAGAAGAACUAAUCUACCGGUUGAAAAUUGUUUGACUAAGUAAGUCAAAAAAAUUACUUUUUCUUAUUAUAUUAAAUUAUAUUUUGUUUAGUUUAAUUUCUUAUUUGUCUAGGAUUUUAUAUUUAUAAAUAGGCUUGUAAUUAUAAGUAUAAGGUAAUUAAAAGAUGAAAAAUAAUUAAAAGAAGUUUAAGUCAAAUAUAUCAAGAUCUAAGACCAAGUCACAAAUAUUCUAAUAAAGUCACUCAAACAUGAUGUUUUUGCCAAGCUUAGAGAUAUGCUAGGAGUUAUCAAAAAUCAAGUUUAAUAGAGAAUGUUGAAAAUAAAUUAAAUUUUUGGUUUUUUUUUUAAAUAAAGGAACUAAUCGACUAGUUGAAACAGAGGAACUAAUUUACCGGUGAAAAUUAUUUGACUAAUUAAGUAAAAAAAAAUUAUUUUUUAUUAUAUUAAAUUAUUUUUUAUUUAGUUUAAUUUCUUAUUUGUCUAAAAUUUUAUAUUUAUAAAUAGGCUUUUAAUUAUAAAUAUAAGACAAGUACAGAAAAGAAAAACACUUAAUAAAACAUACUUUCCUCUAAAAAUUUCUUCUUGUUAAAUAGCCUUGCAAUUUAGUAUUUAUCCAUAUAAGCUACCACAUUAAUUUUCUUCUAGCAGGGGGCUCCUUCCAUGAAGAAUGCAUCUCGCAUUACUAUCCAAAGGGUAUGUAGUUCUUGAAUAGUUCAAGAACUUGGCUGUUACAACCAAGGUUACCUGCAGCUUUGGCAUUCUCUUCCUAGAGCUAGUUUGUUGCAGAAAGAACUUUGAGAUUAAUGCAAUGCAAGAAGAUCAGAUAGUUCUUGCAGACUGGGCAUGUGAUUGCCUUAAAGAAGGAAAGUUGAACCUUUUAGUAGAAGAAGAUGAAGAGGCAAUGGAAGACAUGAAAAGGGUAGAGAGGUUUGUGAUGGUUGCAAUUUGGUGCAUUCAUGAAGAUCCAUCUUUAAGACCUGGAAUGAAGAAAGUUGUGCAGAUGUUAGAAGGAAGUGUUCAAGUCUCUGUUCCUCCUGAUCCUUCAUCAUUUAUCAGCACAAUCUAAAUCCUUUUUGUACAUAUAUAUAUAUCCAGAAACUAAGGCCAAUGAAUGUUACCUAUCUACCUUGCGUUGAAUAAUCUGUAGUUCCUAUCAUUUCAGGGCAAUAAGGCUUAAAACGCAUGCUUUCAAUUAUUAUUUUUUCUUUUCAUGUUCACGAGUAAUAAGUAAAAUAAAAGAUUUAAAAUGAAUAUAAAGGCAAACCGUAUAUAAUUAUUAGAUAUUUUUUCUUGAUUUUCUUUUAGGAUGUUAUAUAUUAACGCAUGUAUAAAAUUCAAGAUGUUAAAUACAAUUUCUCAGCAAGAAAGUGAAUUAAAAUCAAUCUUUAAAGGUUUAUUUUAAUUAUUCUUUUUAGAUAUUUUCAAUUAAAAAAAACUUGUAGCACAAUCCUAAAUCCUAGAAGUGAAAACAUUACACGUACCCUGUGAUAUCAUCUAAUAUUUUUAAAGAAUAAUAUAAAUAAAAAUUUAAAAUCUUAACUAAUAAUUCUUGUUUUUAAAUUGAAUAAUAAGUCAUUUUUUACGAGUUAUUUCUUUUUCUGUAAUUUAAUAGAAUUUUCUAAAAACAAAACCAGAAUAUAUAUAUAAUUAAUUUCUUGGAACAAGCCACCUUUUGAAAGGGUUUUCCUCUCCAAGAUUUAGUGGAAUUUUCUCAAAACAAAAUCUAGAAUACAUAUAAAUUGUUAGGAUUUUAGAGAUUUUCAAUAAAGAAAACUUUUAUAAUUGAAGUGGUCAAAAGAAGGAAGCUUCUGAUUAAUUUCAAUGUACAGCUAAUAACAUGUCUUUUUUGCAUGGGUCUAUCACACAGUCCUUUCUUCACGUUAAUAUAUAUUGGAAUAGUUGACCAUUGAAAAUUACAACCACCUAAUGUUUGACUCAUUAAUGCUGCCAUAAGCUUUUUAUUUACCAAAAAGAAAAAUUUAUAAAGAUAAAAAAAAAACUAUUUUACAAGGAUUUUAUUUAUUUUUAUGUUUUAAAACUAUUUUUAAAAAAAUUAAAAUUUUUUAUUUUUUAUUAUUUAAAAUUAAUAUUUUUUUAAUGUUUUCAGAUCAUUUUAAUGUGCUGAUAUUAAAAUUAAUUUUUAAAAAAUAAAACAAAUUAUUUUAAUAUAUUUUUAAAUAAAAAUACUUUAAAAAAUAAUUACUAUCACACUCUUAAAUCUCAAUACAGAGAAGGUUUUUAACAUUAGUUUAUUCUCAUGCAUGAAAAAGAUUCGAAAAUAGUUGAAAUCUCUUUAUGAGAAGGGAAAAAUCAAAAUCACAUAAACAAAGUCAUGAUUGCCAUCUUCAUUUGAUACGCGGAUAGGUGGAGACUCAAUAUUUCUUCCAACUGUAAUACUCAGCUUCUGAUUAAUUCUUUCUUGUUAAAUGCUUGCUUCUUUCUUGGAAAAGAAAGAGUGUUGGAACCAAGGAAGACACAAUAGACAGUAGUUGCAGCAGAAUCUUACAUCAAUACAGCUAAAACUGUGUAAUUAAAAUGGUAAAAAAAAAAAAUGAAAGCUUCUGAGUAAUUUCAUUAGUAAUAUUUUUUAUAUAACUUGUUAUUAGGAUUUUAGAGAUUAUAUAUAUAUAUAUAAAAAAGUUGCAGCAGAAUCUUAGAUCCAAGUAGCUAAAACUGUGUAAUUGGAGUGGGUAAAAAAAAAGGAAACUUCUGGUUAAUUUCAUUAUUAAUAUUUUUUAUAUAACUUGUUAUUAGGAUUUUAGAGAUUUUUUAUAUAUAAAAAAAGAAGAAGUUGCAGCAGAAUCUUAGAUCCAAACAUCUAAAACUGUGUAAUUGGAGUGGUAAAAAAGAAAGAAAGCUUCUGAUUAAUUUCAUUAGUAAUAUUAUUUUUAUAUAACUUGUUAUUAGGAUUUUAGAGAUUUUUUAUAUAUAUAAAAAAAAGAAGUUGCAGCAGAAUCUUAGAUCCAAGCAGCUAAAACUGUGUAAUUGGAGUGGUAAAAAAAAGAAAGCUUCUGAUUAAUUUCAUUAGUAAUACUUUUUUAUAUAACCUGUUAUUAGGAUUUUAGAGAUUUUUUAUAUAAAAAAAGAAGUUGCAGCAAAAUUUUAGAUCCAAGCAGCUAAAACUGUGAAAUUGGAGUGGUAAAAAAAAAAAAGAAGCUUCUGAUUAAUUUCAUUAGUAAUAUUUUUUAUACAAUAAUAUAAAUUAUAUCUUAAAUUAUCAUCAAUGUCUUACAUUUUUUUUUAUUAAACUAGUUAUUUGAUAUGACAUUAAAAUUUUAUUAGCUAAAUUAUUAUUUAAAUUUUUUUUAAUUUACUUAAGCUUUUGAAUUGAAUUUAUUCUUUAACAACUGUUAUUAUAAAAUAAGUUUAUUUUUCUCAAGUUUUUUUGUCUAGAUUUAUUAGAAUUUCGUCAAAAAAAGACCAGAAUAUAUAACUUUUUAGGAACCAGUUAUUUAACGAUAUUAAGUAUGAAAACACUUAAUUUUUGCAUUUUAUUCUCCAAGUUCUAGUUGGAUUUUCUCAGAAAGACCAGGAUUUUAGAGAUUUUCAAUGAAGAAAAUUUAUAGCACACGCAAUCCUAAAUCAAGAGAAACAGUGAAGCCUUUAUAGUUGAAGUGGUCAGAAGAAAAGGGCCACACCGUUUAUUCCAAUGGCAUUAGUAAUCGCUCUAAGACUUAUUGCUAAUAAUUUCUCUUCUUUGAACACCCCUUUCUUCACGUUAAUAUUGGAAAACUUGACAAUUGAUCAGACUUACAAUUUUCUAAUGCUUUACUUUUACUUCAUUAAUUUAUUCAUUUGAUACGUACGCGGAUAGUUGGAGACUCGUAUUUUAUUCCAACGGCAAUACCCAGCAUAAAUAGAGAAGAGGGCUUGUGCCCUAAAUCAUGCAAUGUCUUAAAAAACAGUAUCUUCACAUCAUGGAUUUUCAACUACCGUAUUGUUUUAUCUUCCUUCUUCUUCUGCUGCUGCCAUUUUCUAGCAAUGGUCAGGCUCACAGCAACAUAUCUUUGGGCUUAUCUCUCACUGCUGCAAGUGAUAACCUUCCUUGGACUUCACCAUCUGGGGAAUUUGCUUUUGGAUUCCAGCAAGUUGGUGAUGCUGGCUACCUACUUGCCAUAUGGUUCAACAAAAUACCCGAAAGAACCAUAGUCUGGUCAGCUAAUAGAAAUGAUCUAGUUCAGGGGGGAUCAAGAGUACAACUUACGGCAGAUG
rnacentral:lncRNA from 1 species